rnacentral:lncRNA from 1 species
CUCAUUUGCUCUGAAGGAAGCUGACCAGCACAUUGUGAGGACACGCAAGCAGCCCCAUGGGGAGUCCAUGUGGGGAGGGACUGAGGCCUCCUGCUAUUGGCCAGCAUCAUCUUGCCGAUAGCCAGGUGAGUGAGUCACCUUGGAGCAGAUCCUUCUGCCCCAGCCAAGCCUUCAGAUGAAACUGUGGCCCCAGCCCACUCUCACCUGCACCCUCACGAGACAUCUGGAGUCAGAACCACCUAACUAAGCCAUUCUCAGAUUCUUGACCCACAGAAACUGGAUGCUACUCGCACGCCUUCCAUGUGCCACUGGCCCCAGGAGGAGACCACAGAGGUGGUCUAGGCUUAGCCUCAGAACAAAACGAGACAAGAUACAAGCAUGUGGCAGAUGAAGAGACGAGGCUGAGAAAGAGCCCAGGACAAGGUGGUGACAAAAGCAGGAUGCAGGACCCAAAUUCCCCUUCGAGAGCUCUUCCUCCUCCAGCCGGGAAAUUCCGUUCGGCUCAUUGUCUUUGGCCUCAAACUCCCGGGGGAAGGGACGGAACCUGGGAGGCUGAGGAAAACCAGAUGCCUAAUCGAUGCUCCUGCAUUUGACAAGGGCGCUGGGGGUGGACGGGCCUGGAGCUGCGCGGCAAACAUUUCAGACUCUUUUGCAUCCUGAAAAUGGCUCUGGGUGUGGAGACAGCCCGGGGAGGAGGCCGUCUGGGACCAUAUGACGCUUGCCAGUGGCAUGAAGGCUGUUAGAGCCAUGGUAGCAACAUUACUUACCCUCCUCCCUUCUCUUGAACAGUGACGAGGCUCCCCCCACUUCACGGGAAGCACACGAAAUCUGGCCCCCAGAGAGGUGGGAUUGAAAACCUGACAGUUUGGACAUACAGCCCGUGGGCAAUGUUUCCCUUCUCCCGGGCUUGUGUCUGUGCCAAGAAUUCCUAACAAAG